rnacentral:misc_RNA from 1 species
GAUGAAGAACGUAGCGAAAUGCGAUAACUAGUGUGAAUUGCAGAAUUCCGUGAAUCAUCGAGUCUUUGAACGCACAUUGCGCCCCCUGGUAUUCCGGGGGGCAUGCCUGUCCGAGCGUCAUUGCUGCCCAUCAAGCACGGCUUGUGUGUUGGGUCGUCGUCCCCCCCUCCGGGGGGGGACGGGCCCUAAAGGCAGCGGCGGCACCGCGUCCGAUCCUCGAGCGUAUGGGGCUUUGUCACCCGCUCUGUAGGCCCGGCCGGCGCUUGCCGAACGCAAAACAACCAUUCUUUCCAGGUUGACCUCGGAUCAGGUAGGGAUACCCGCUGAACUUAAGCAUAUCAAUAGCGGAGGA